rnacentral:lncRNA from 1 species
UCUAAUAAUAAUGAUAUAGAAAUAAUAUUUCUAAUGUCUUUAGGAAUAUAAUAACAGAUCUUCAAUUUCAAAACUUUGCCUGAAGACAAUUUUAAAAUCAUAGUUUCUAUGGCUUCGGCCUGAAUAAACUUUCCACUAGCAUCGAAUAGCUCGAAGUUACCUUUAUUCAGACUCUUUAUUUCCUGUAGAUCCUACAAUGAUUUGCAAAGGUGUGAG